rnacentral:rRNA from 1 species
GAGCACGUAGGUGGGUUUGUAAGUCAGAUGUGAAAGCCUUCUGUUCAACGGAAGAAUUGCAUCCGAAACUGCGAGUCUUGAGUGUAGGAGGGGAGAAUGGAACUUCUGGUGGAGCGGUGAAAUGUGUAGAUAUCAGAAGGAACUCCGGCGGCGAAAGCGAUUCUCUGGCCUAUUACUGACACUCAGUGUGCGAAAGCUAGGGGAGCAAACGGGAUUAGAUACCCCGGUAGUCCUAGCCGUAAACGAUGGGCACUAAGUAGAGGGGUUUU